GACGAACGCUGGCGGCGUGCCUAACACAUGCAAGUCGAACGGAGAUAGUUAAUGAAGCUUGCGAUUUAGCUAUCUUAGUGGCAAACGGGUGAGUAACGCGUGGGUAACCUGCCCUUAAGACCGGGACAACAGCUGGAAACGGCUGCUAAUACCGGAUGUAUUGUCCGAGAGGCAUCUCUUGGAGAAGAAAGCUGGCCUCUGAAAAUGCUAGCGCUUAGGGAUGGACCCGCGUCUGAUUAGCUAGUUGGUGGGGUAGCGGCCUACCAAGGCGACGAUCAGUAGCCGGCCUGAGAGGGUAAACGGCCACACUGGGACUGAGACACGGCCCAGACUCCUACGGGAGGCAGCAGUGGGGAAUCUUCCGCAAUGGACGAAAGUCUGACGGAGCAACGCCGCGUGUAUGAAGAAGGCCUUCGGGUUGUAAAAUACUGUUGUUAGGGAAGAACGGCAUCUGUGUAAAUAAUGCAGGUGAUUGACGGUACCUAACGAGGAAGCCCCGGCUAACUACGUGCCAGCAGCCGCGGUAAUACGUAGGGGGCAAGCGUUGUCCGGAAUCAUUGGGCGUAAAGGGCGCGUAGGCGGCAAUAUAAGUCUGAUGUGAAAGUGCGGAGCUUAACU
rnacentral:rRNA from 1 species